rnacentral:rRNA from 1 species
UACGUAGGGUGCAAGCGUUGUCCGGAAUUAUUGGGCGUAAAGAGCUCGUAGGCGGCCUGUCGCGUCGGGAGUGAAAGCCCACUGCUUAACGGUGGGUCUGCUUCCGGUACGGGCGGGCUGGAGUAUGGCAGGGGGAGACUGGAAUUCCUGGUGUAGCGGUGGAAUGCGCAGGAUAUCGGAGGAAGAACCUGCGGCGAAGGCGGAGCG